rnacentral:rRNA from 1 species
GACGAACGCUGGCGGCGUGCUUAACACAUGCAAGUCGAACGGAAAGGCCCUGCUUUUGUGGGGUGCUCGAGUGGCGAACGGGUGAGUAACACGUGAGUAACCCGUCCCUGACUUUGGGAUAACUUCAGGAAACUGGGGCUAAUACCGGAUAGGAGCUACUGCUGCAUGGUGGGGGUUGGAAAGUUUCGGCGGUUGGGGAUGGACUCGCGGCUUAUCAGCUUGUUGGUGGGGUAGUGGCUUACCAAGGCUAUGACGGGUAGCCGGCCUGAGAGGGUGACCGGCCACAUGAGGACUGAGAUACGGCCCAGACUCCUACGGGAGGCAACAGUGGGGAAUAUUGCACAAUGAGCGGAAGCCUGAUGCAGCAGCGCCGCGUUCGUGAUGACGUCCUACGAGUUGUAAACCGCUUUCGCCUGUGACGAAGCGUGAGUGACGGUAAUGGGUAAAAAAGCACCGGCUAACUACGUG